CGGGACCCACGAUUUUUUACCCACGACCCACGCCUUUUUACCCACGACCCACGCCUUUUUACCCACGACCCACGCCUUUUUACCCACGACCCACGCCUUUUUACCCACGACCCACGCCUUUUUACCCACGACCCACUCCUUUUUACCCACGACCCACGCCUUUUUACCCACGACCCACGCCUUUUUACCCACGACUUACGACUUUUUACCCACGACCCACGACUUUUUACCCACGACCCACGACAUUCUACCCACGACCCACGACAUUCUACCCACGACCCACGACCCACGACUGUUAGCUAGUCCCGUAUAUAAAAGGUCAAGUACGAUGUAUACAAACACUAAACAGCACAAGUCGAAGCGCCUUCGCUCGAAACGUCGAAGUUCUCCUUGUAUUUUUCAGGUAGUUGUAUCCCUAUCAAUCCGCAGCUUUCGCACAUAUUUCCUCCAGAAUUUCUAGUUGUUUUCAAUCGAUUUCAGUGUAAAAAGUAUCAAAUUUUCGACGAGAAAUUCCAAAUACUUUGUUUAUAUAGAAC